UACGUAGGAGGCAAGCGUUGUCCGGAAUUACUGGGCGUAAAGGGCGCGUAGGCGGCGUGUCAAGUCAAUUGUGAAAUCUCCGAGCUUAACUCGGAACGGUCAAUUGAUACUGAUGUGCUAGAGUGCAGAAGGGGCAAUCGGAAUUCUUGGUGUAGCGGUGAAAUGCGUAGAUAUCAAGAGGAACACCUGAGGUGAAGACGGGUUGCUGGGCUGACACUGACGCUGAGGCGCGAAAGCUAGGGUAGCAAACGGG
rnacentral:rRNA from 1 species